rnacentral:rRNA from 1 species
AGAGUUUGAUCAUGGCUCAGGAUGAACGCUAGCUACAGGCUUAACACAUGCAGGUCGAGGGGAAACGACAUCGAAAGCUUGCUUUUGAUGGGCGUCGACCGGCGCACGGGUGAGCAACGCGUAUCCAACCUGCCCACCACUUGGGGAUAACCUUGCGAAAGUAAGACUAAUACCCAAUGACGUCUCUAGAAGACAUCUGAAAGGGAUUAAAGAUUUAUUGGUGAUGGAUGGGGAUGCGUCUGAUUAGCUUGUUGGCGGGUAACGGCCACCAAGGCUACGAUCAGGUAGGGGUUCUGAGAGGAACGGUCCCCACAUUGGAACUGAGACACGGUCCAAAACUCCGUACGGGAGCA